rnacentral:rRNA from 1 species
AUUGAACGCUGGCGGCAGGCCUAACACAUGCAAGUCGAGCGAGCGGCGGACGGGUGAGUAAUGUAUGGGGAUCUGCCUGAUAGAGGGGGAUAACUACUGGAAACGGUGGCUAAUACCGCAUACUAUCGGAUGUACCCAUAUGGGAUUAGCUAAUAGGUGGGGUAAAGGCUCACCUAGGCGACGAUCUCUAGCUGGUCUUAGAGGAUGAUCAGCCACACUGGAACUGAGACACGUCCCAGACUCCUACGGGAGGCAGCAGUGGGGAAUAGUGCACAAUGGGCGCAAGCCGGAUGCAGCCAUGCCGCGUGUAUGAAGAAGGCCUUAGGGUUGUAAAGUACUUUCAGCGGGGAGGCGUUACCCGCAGAAGAAGCACCGGCUAACUACGUGCCAGCAGCCGCGGUAAUUC